UACAGAGGCCCCAAGCAUUAUCCGGAAUCACUGGGCGUAAAGGGUGUGCAGGCGGCUUUGUUAGUCCUUCGUAAAAGCAUCGGGGCUCAACCCCGGUAAUGCGGUGGAAACGGCAAAGCUCGAGGACGCGAGAGGUAGAGGGAACUCAUGGUGUAGGGGUGAAAUCCGUUGAUAUCAUGGGGAACACCAAAUGCGAAGGCACUCUACUGGCGCGCUCCUGACGCUCAUACACGAAAGCGUGGGAAUCGAACGGG
rnacentral:rRNA from 1 species